rnacentral:rRNA from 1 species
ACGGAAGGCAGCAGUCGGGAAUAUUGCGCAAUGGAGGAAACUCUGACGCAGUGACGCCGCGUAUAGGAAGAAGGUUUUCGGGUUGUAAACUAUUGUCGUUAGGGAAGAAAAAAAUGACAGUACCUAAGGAGGAAGCUCCGGCUAACUAUGUGCCAGCAGCCGCGGUAAUACAUAGGGAGCGAGCGUUAUCCGGAUUUAUUGGGUGUAAAGGGUGCGUAGACGGGAAAUUAAGUUAGUUGUGAAAUCCCUCGGCUUAACUGAGGAACUGCAACUAAAACUAAUAUUCUUGAGUGUCGGGGGGGAAAGUGGAAUUCCUAGUGUAGCGGUGAAAUGCGUAGAUAUUAGGAGGAACACCGGUGGCGAAGGCGACUUUCUGGACGAUAACUGACGUUGAUGCACGAAAGUGUGGGGAGCAAACAGGAUUAGAUACCCUGGUA